rnacentral:rRNA from 1 species
AUUGAACGCUGGCGGCAGGCCUAACACAUGCAAGUCGAACGAGUGGCGGAAGGGUGAGUAAUGUCUGGGAAACUGCCUGAUGGAGGGGGAUAACUACUGGAAACGGUAGCUAAUACCGCAUACCAUCGGAUGUGCCCAGGUGGGAUUAGCUAGUAGGUGGGGUAAUGGCUAACCUAGUCGACGAUCCAUAGCUGGUCUGAGAGGAUGACCAGCCACACUGGAACUGAGACACGGUCCAGACUCCUACGGGAGGCAGCAGUGGGGAAUAUUGCACAAUGGUCGCAAGCCUGAUUCAGCCAUGCCGCGUGUGUGAAGAAGGCCUUCGGGUUGUAAAGCACUUUCAUCGGGGAGGCGUUACUCACAGAAGAAGCACCGGCUAACUCCGUGCCAGCAGCCGCGGUAAUUC